rnacentral:rRNA from 1 species
CAGCCGCCACGGGAAUACGAAGGGGGCUAGCGUUGUUCGGAAUUACUGGGCGUAAAGCGCGUGUAGGCGGGUCUUUAAGUCAGAGGUGAAAUGCCAAGGCUCAACUUUGGAACUGCCUUUGAUACUGGAGAUCUUGAGUCCGGGAGAGGUGAGUGGAAUUGCGAGUGUAGAGGUGAAAUUCGUAGAUAUUCGCAAGAACACCAGUGGCGAAGGCGGCUCACUGGCCCGGAGCUGACGCUGAGACGCGAAAGCGUGGGGAGCAAACAGGAUUAGAUACCCCUGUAGUCCCUGUCUCUUAUAC